UACAGAGGUCUCAAGCGUUGUUCGGAUUCAUUGGGCGUAAAGGGUGCGUAGGCGGCGUCGUAAGUCGGGUGUGAAAUCUCGGGGCUUAACUCCGAAAUUGCAUUCGAUACUGCGGUGCUUGAGGACUGGAGAGGAGACUGGAAUUCACGGUGUAGCAGUGAAAUGCGUAGAUAUCGUGAGGAAGACCGGUGGCGAAGGCGGGUCUCUGGACAGUUCCUGACGCUGAGAGACGAAAGCUAGGGGAGCGAAUGGG
rnacentral:rRNA from 1 species